UCGCCCUGACCUGGGACAAGAGUUGUGGUGGCGCCACUUUCCCGCCAGCCCUGCAGCGGGGCCGCCGCCGCCGCCACCCAAUAUUAGCACACUAUUGUCUCCACGCCCACUCAUGUGCAUAAUAAUCUACGAGGCCACGAGGCAGAUCAACAACUGAUUACACUUGGUUCAUGGCUCUUGCGUGUCAAGUGGCACUUUUCCCUGCCUCGUUACCUGCAGUGCCAUCUGCAGGAGUGCCAGAGUGUGGUCCUGGGAGGCGCUGGCAGGGUUGCCCAGGAGACGGGACCAGGUCUCUGAGGGCGAAGGCAAGAUACUCGUGGUGGAGGUAGAGACACCGACGGAGGCGCCGCUGCUGGAAGAGUGCCCACUUCGACCCGGUGCCUGGUCUUCGGCGACUCCAGCACCCGCGAUGAGUCGGCCUCCCGCGCGGACCUGAAGACGGUAUUAGUGGACGGUGCAGUUAAUGGCGGCCGCGGUGCGGUGUAGCUGUGCUGAAGUCAGCAGAAAGUCCAACACAUUGGCCAUGCUGACAGUGCCAUUACCUACGCCCACGCCAGCACCAACGCCGCCCACGCCAGCACCCACGCCCCUUCCACCACCCCCGGACACUGUCCACGCUAGCCCUAUCCCGUUCUUGAGCGAAUUGGCGCUGAUGGUCGCCGACGAGGUGUUGGCUGAAGAGGGAGCUGAAGGAGGAGAGGAACUUCCCGCAGGGCGCGAAGUGUCUGUGACCCUCAUGGUGUAUAUGUGAUGGCGCUCCAGGGCACCUGAGGUAGCUACGGGGGUGGAGGAGCCUGGCACUAGGCUUGGGCCAGAUCACACACACACGAGGUGCACCGGACGAUGGCAUGAAGGUUCCACACACUCCUGUAUAGAACAAACUAUGUGCGAUAUACUACAUAGAAAAUGGGCAGCCCGUCCUCCAAAAAUGGGGUGGUAAAUGUAAGAAGACAAAUAAAUGCAAUUAUGUACUAUUCAAAAAUGGGUUACAUGAACGAGAAAUAGCAUUCACACGUGUAGAAUAUAAUACUGCUACGUACCACAAUGCUUAAUACUGCUACGUACCACAAUGCUUAAUACUGCUACGUACCACAAUGCUUAAUACUGCUACGUACCACAAUGCUUAAUACUGCUACGUACCACAAUGCUUAAUACUGCUACGUACCACAAUGCUUAAUACUGCUACGUACCACAAUGCUUAAUACUGCUACGUACCACAAUGCUUAAUACUGCUACGUACUACAAUGCUUAAUACUGCUACGUACUACAAUGCUUAAUACUGCUACGUACCACAAUGCUUAAUACUGCUACGUACCACAAUGCUUAAUAUUGCUACGUACCACAAUGCUUAAUACUGCUACGUACUACAAUGCUUAAUACUGCUACGUACUACAAUGCUUUAAUACUGCUACGUACCACAAUGCUUAAUACUGCUACGUACCACAAUGCCUAAUACUGCUACGUACCACAAUGCUUAAUACUGCUACGUACCACAAUGCUUAAUACUGCUACGCGAUGAAUGAUCCUGUUCAACUAUUACACUCUUGUUAAAUAAUAAACCUCGAUAAAACCCUAUAACGUGUAUGAAUA